CCUACGGGUGGCUGCAGUCGAGAAUUUUUCACAAUGGGGGAAACCCUGAUGGAGCGACGCCGCGUGGAGGAUGAAGGCCCUUGGGUUGUAAACUCCUGUCAUGCGGGAACAAGAAAGUGAUAGUACCGCAAGAGGAAGAGACGGCUAACUCUGUGCCAGCAGCCGCGGUAAUACAGAGGUCUCAAGCGUUGUUCGGAUUUAUUGGGCGUAAAGGGUGCGUAGGUGGCGACGCAAGUCUGAUGUGAAAUUUCGGGGCUCAACCCCGAAACUGCAUUGGAUACUGCGCCGCUCGAGGAUUGUAGAGGAGAGUGGAAUUCACGGUGUAGCAGUGAAAUGCGUAGAGAUCGUGAGGAAGACCAGUUGCGAAGGCGACUCUCUGGGCAACUCCUGACACUGAGGCACGAAGGCCAGGGGAGCAAACGGGAUUAGAUACCCCUGUAGUC
rnacentral:rRNA from 1 species